UCUCGGCUUAUCACCGGCAGUCCCAUUAGAGUGCCCAACUAAAUGCGGCAACUAAUGGCAAGGGUUGCGCUCGUUGCGGGACUUAACCCAACAUCUCACGACACGAGCUGACGACAGCCAUGCAGCACCUGUGUUACGGUUCCCUUUCGGGCACACCUCCAUCUCUGGAGGCUUCCGUACAUGUCAAGGGUAGGUAAGGUUUUUCGCGUUGCAUCGAAUUAAUCCACAUAAUCCACCGCUUGUGCGGGUCCCCGUCAAUUCCUUUGAGUUUUAAUCUUGCGACCGUACUCCCCAGGCGGGAAGCUUAAUGCGUUAGCUGCGCCACCGACAAGUAAACUUGCCGACGGCUAGCUUCCAUCGUUUACAGCGUGGACUAC
rnacentral:misc_RNA from 1 species